AAAUUGAAGAGUUUGAUCAUGGCUCAGGUCAGACGCUGGCGGCAGGCCUAACACAUGCAAGUCGAACGGUAACAGGAAGCGGCUUGCUGCUUUGCUUUGACGAGUGGCAGACGGGUGAGUAAUGUCUGGGAAACUGCCUGAUGGAGGGGAUAACUACUGGAAACGGUAGCUAAUACCGCAUAACGUCGCAAAGACCAAAGAGAGGACCUUCGGGCCUCUUGCCAUCGGAUGUGCCCAGAUGGGAUUGGCUUGUUGGUGGGGUAACGGCUCGCAAGGCGACGAUCCUAGCUGGUCUGAGAGGAUGACCAGCCACACUGGAACUGAGACACGGUCCAGACUCCUGCAGAGAGCAGCAGUGGGAAUAUUGCACAAUGGGCGCAAGCCUGAUGCAACCAUGCCGCGUGUAUGAAGAAGGCCUUCCGGGUUGUAAAGUACUUUCAGCGGGGAGGAAGGGUAAAGUUAAUACCUUUACUCAUUGACGUUACACCCGCAGAAGAAGCUUUACCGGCUAACUCCGUGCCAGCAGCCGCGGUAAUACGGAGAGAUUACAAGCGUUAAUCAGAAUUACUGGGCGUAAAGCGCACGCAGGCAGUUUGUUAAGUCCAGAUGUAGCGAAAUCCCCGGGCUCUCAGCACGGGAACUGCAUCUGAUACUGGCAACAGAUCUCGUAGAGGGGGUAGAAUUCAGUGUAGCAGUGAAAUGCGUAGAGAUCUGGAGGAAUACCGGUGGCGAAGGCAACCCCCUGGACGAAGACUGACGCUCAGGUGCGAAAGCGUGGGAGCAAACAGGAUUAGAUACCUGGUGAUCCACGCCGUAAACGAUGUCGACUUGGAGGGUUGUGCCCUUGAGCGUGGCUUCCGGAGCUAGCGCUAACGUUAAGUCGACCGCACAAGGAGUACGGCCGCAAGGUUAAAACUCGAAUGAAUUGACGAGGGCCCGCACAAGCGGUGGAGCAUGUGGUUUAAUUCGAUGCAGCGCGAAGAACCUUACAGUCUUGACAUCCACGGAAGUUUUCAGAGAUGAAUGUGCCUUCGGGAACAGUGAGACAGGUGCUGCAUGGCUGUCGUCAGCUCGUGUUGUGAAAUGUUGGGUUAAGUCCCGCAACGAAGCACCAACCCUUAUCCUUUGUUGCCAGCGGUCCGGCCGGGGAACUCCGAGGACUGCCAGUGAUAAACUGGAGGAAGGUGGGGAUGACGUCAGAAUCAUCAUGGCCCUUACGACCAGGGCUACACACGUGCUACAAUGGCGCAUACAAAGAGAAGCGACCUCGCGAGAGCAAGCGGACCUCAUAAAGUGCGUCGUAGUCCCGGAUUGGAGUCUGCAACUCGACUCCAUGAAGUCGGAAUCAUGGCAAUCGUGGAUCAGAAUGCCACGGUGAAUACGUUCGAGCCUUGUACACACCGCCCGUCACACCAUGGGAGUGGGUUUGCCAAAAGAGUAGGCAGCUUAACCUUCGGGAGGGCGCUUACCACUUUGUGAUUCAUGACUGGGGUGAAGUCGUAACAAGGUAACCGUAGGGGAACCUGCGGUUGGGAUCACCUCCUUACCUUAAAGAAGC
rnacentral:rRNA from 1 species